UAGGUUGCUUGCAACUGCACAAAGAUGUCUGGCCUCUACAAAAAAAUUCAUGUGAAGACUAGCACAGAUUAGAGACUUGGAGGUGCUAGCCUGCAAGCAAUUUUGACGGUUGAUCUCUUUUUUUUUCUUCAAGCACCUUGGACACUCCAAAGGAUGAAAAAAUCUAGAGGUGGAAGAGAGGGGAAGGAGAAAAGCUUUGAAAAAAUAAAAACCAGCAAGGGG
rnacentral:lncRNA from 1 species